rnacentral:rRNA from 1 species
UGCAGUCGAACGAACCUAAUCUUCGGAAAAGGUUAGUGGCGCACGGGUGAGUAACACGUAGGUGACCUGCCCUGGAGUGGGGGAUAACUUCUCGAAAGAGAAGCUAAUACCGCAUAUGCUCGGUCAUUCGGUUGAUCGAGUAAAGCUCCGGCGCUCCAGGAGGGGCCUGCGUCCGAUUAGCUAGUUGGUGGGGUAAUGGCCUACCAAGGCGAUGAUCGGUAGCUGGUCUGAGAGGACGAUCAGCCACACUGGCACUGACACACGGGCCAGACUCCUACGGGAGGCAGCAGUGAGGAAUAUUGGUCAAUGGGCGAAAGCCUGAACCAGCAACGCCGCGUGAGGGAUGAAGGCCUUCGGGUCGUAAACCUCUUUUCUGGGAGAAGAGACAAGGACGGUAUCCCAGGAAUAAGUCUCGGCUAACUACGUGCCAGCAGCCGCGGUAAAACGUAGGAGGCAAGCGUUAUCCGGAUUUACUGGGCGUAAAGCGCACGCAGGCGGCUGCGUAAGUCGGACGUGAAAGCUCCUGGCUCAACUGGGAGAGGUCGUUCGAAACUGCGCGGCUUGAGGUUGGAAGAGGAGAGCGGAAUUCCCGGUGUAGUGGUGGAAUGCGUAGAUAUCGGGAGGAACACCAGUGGCGAAAGCGGCUCUCUGGUCCACACCUGACGCUCAGGUGCGAAAGCGUGGGUAGCGAACGGGAUUAGAUACCCCGGUAGUCCACGCUGUAAACGAUGCGAACUAGGUGUUGGUAGUAUUAAACCUAUCAGUGCCGAAGCUAACGCGAUAAGUUCGCCGCCUGGGGACUACGGCCGCAAGGCU